rnacentral:rRNA from 1 species
ACUCCUACGGGAGGCAGCAGUGGGGAAUAUUGCACAAUGGGCGCAAGCCUGAUGCAGCCAUGCCGCGUGUAUGAAGAAGGCCUUCGGGUUGUAAAGUACUUUCAGCAGUGAGGAAGGUGGAUAUGUUAAUAGCAUACUCAUUUGACGUUAGCUGCAGAAGAAGCACCGGCUAACUCCGUGCCAGCAGCCGCGGUAAUACGGAGGGUGCGAGCGUUAAUCGGAAUUACUGGCGUAAAGCGCAUGCAGGUGGUUUGUUAAGUCAGAUGUGAAAGCCCGGGGCUCAACCUCGGAAUUGCAUUUGAAACUGGCAAACUAGAGUACUGUAGAGGGGGUAGAAUUUCAGGUGUAGCGGUGAAAUGCGUAGAGAUCUGAAGGAAUACCGGUGGCGAAGGCGGCCCCCUGGACAGAUACUGACACUCAGAUGCG